AGGGGCGUAGCUCAAUUGGCAGAGCAUCGGUCUCCAAAACCGAAGGUUGUAGGUUCAAUUCCUGCCGCCCCUG
rnacentral:tRNA from 1 species